CCCGCCGCUCCCGGCCGGCACCUCCCGGGACCGUGUGUGCUGCGUCCCCGGAGGGUCCGGGGACAGGGGUCUGCGCUGAGGCCCUUCGGUGCCAGACGCCCACGAAACGGACUCAAAGAGCCUCAAGGCGCAACGUAAACCAGGCCAGCUUGCUGAGCAGAGCUGGUCCCCCGCCAGUCGGGUCGCUGACCCUGACCGUGGAGGCCAGCAGCGGCCCCAAGUGUCCGCGCUGCAGCCGGGAGGGGAAGAUAAUCGAGUCCCCUGGGCCCCGCCAGGCUGGUGAAUUAUCACCCACGGCACAGCUGACAAGCAGCAGACCUUAGGCUUCAGUGCUUGCCCUUAGACAAAGGUGGGACGACCAGGUAGGACCUGCCAACCUCCCAUCUGAUUGACUGAGCCUUUCCCCAGCAGUGCGUUUUCACCUCCCUCUAGUUGGCUGAGCUGAGCCAAAGCUGGGAGGGGCCUGGGGACUUUCAGUGUCUGCAGUCAGCCUCUGAAAAACAGCAGAUUUGUAGAUGACAGUGUGGUUGUCUAAGAGCCCUGGUGUUGCAGUGGUUAAGAGACUGGCUGCUACGACUAGAUGGAGCGCGGCUGCCACCACGGACUACUCUGACAGGGAUCACAAUGGAGGUCCUGGACAGAGCUGGAGAAAAAUGUAGAGCAAAAUUCUGACUCACAAAAAGACCAGACUUACUGGCCUGAUGGAAACUGGAGAAACUCAGGGAGUGUGGCCCCUGGACACCCUUUUAGUUCCGUAAUGAAGUCACUCCUGAGGUUCUCCCUUCAGCCAAAGAUUGGACAGGCCCAUAAAACAAACUGAGACUUAAUGGGCAUACCAGCCCUGGGGCAAAGAUGAAGGGGGGGUGGUGGGGGGAGCUGGUAAUAGGGAACCUAAGGUUGAGAAGGAGAGAGUGUUGACAUGUCAUGGGGCUGGCAACCAACGUCACAAAACAAUAUGUGUACUAAUUGUUUAAUGAGAAGCUAGUUUGUUCUGUAAACCUUUAUCUAAAGUAUAAGGGGAAAAAAAAAAAAGAUUGGCUGCCGACCAAAAGGUCACACUUGGAAUCUACCAGCCACUCCUUGGAAACCCUAUGGGCCACUUCUCCUCUGUCCUACAGGGUCACUGAGUCAGAAUUGACUCCAGGGCAAUGGGUUUGGUUGUUUUGCUUUUUGUGGGUGUCUUUAGGAAGGAAGUUUGACUUUUGAAAUAUAUCACAUGAUUAAAGUGCUUUGGGGUUCAUGUAUCAAUAGUAAGCAAAUAGAUCAUAGCAAAUGUUCACUAAUUAUUUAAAAAAUAUUUACUGUGUUCCUACAACGUGCCAAGUGUUUCUCUGGACACUGGGGACAAGCAGUGAACUCAAAAGACAUGAGGCUUACAUUAUAAGUGAUAGGCAAUAAACAUAACACAUAAGCAAAUUAUUGCAAGGUGAAAAAUGCUAUGAAGAAAUAGGGCAAGAGGGAUCAAGAGUCCAGAGGCUGGGAGUGAGGAGAGUUACCAUCUUAAACCGGGUGGACAGGAUAAGCAUUACUGAGAGGACGAUGCUUAAGCAGAGAUGAAAGAGGCCAGGGAGGCAGCCUUGUCGACAGCGAGUGUCCCAGACAGAGGGCACAGCCAGUGCACAGUGAAAACGCGCUGGCAGUGUGGCUGGAGCGGAAGGAACAAGGAGAAAAGAAGUAGGUGAAGUCAGGCCGAUUUGGGAGGUGGGGCGGAUGGGGGCAGAUUUUGUAGGGCUCUAUUUGGAGUUUUAUUUUGGGAGCGUGGGUUGUGGGUCAAUAUAUUGAAUUAGCUUGCAGCUUAAAAUCGAUUUAGAGGAUUCCACAUCUUUUAGCAUUUAAAUAGCUGUUUGAUUUGAAGCUCAUUCACCUGAAAUGCUAUUGAAACCACUUGCAGACAUAUCAUUAAACACGCUUUUUCCCUGUGAGAGGAGAUUGGUGGUUAUCCAGCAAAAUCAGAUUCUUUAUGCAGAAAACCUGUCAAUUGACAUAAUUUCCUUAAAACUUUUGAAGGCCUAUUAUAUACUCUUGGAGCCCUAAUGCUGCAGUGGUUAAGAGCUCGGCUGGUAACCCAAAAGGUCGACAGUUCGAAUCCACCAGCCACUCCUUGGAAACCCUGUGGGGCAGUUCUGUGCUGUCCUAUAGGAUUUGCUAUGAGUUGAAAUCGACUUGGCAGCGGGUUUAUUAUAUACUUUUGGUUCUAUUUUCAGACAGUAUUUAAUUCUAGUAUCCUACUAUCCUAUGCAUUUGUUUUUCUUAUGUGUUUAUCUAUUUUUACUGACUGCGUUCUUUAAUACUAGGAAGAUACAGAAAGCCAAGGCAAGUGGGUGGCCUUCAUAAAAAAUAGCAUUUAAAUGUACAAAUGAAUGAUUAUGUUGGUGGGAAGGGUGGUUCAAAUACUAUUUUGACAACAAGCAUCAAGUUUAAGACUUGGAUAACCUGUUUAGUCUGCAGGACUCGGCAUAAGUAAUCAGAUUGUUUAUCAGAAUAGCUGACGUGCUCGACCAGCUGUGGGACUUUUCUAACCUCUAUCAGACAUUCCUAAGUCUCUGAGGUGGAGGCUUGAUGUAAAAUCAUGGCGUCCUAACCACCCCACCCUGAAUGAAACCAUAUACAGCACUGCAUUACCCCGAAUAGGUAUGGCGUGAUGAAACAAAACUGAAUAUACAAAAUGUGUGCUAGAAGAUAAGAAAUACGGAGAUAAUGUUUCCGUUUGAAAAAGAAACAUUUGAGCGAAGUACUUACCAACGGGUCACUUUUUUAAAAAAGUACUUAGUAUACUUAGUGUAUUACCCGAGUUUCAAAAUUUAGAUUUUUGUCCAUCUUUUCAGGAAGAAAUCCGGGGGGCGGGGGGAGUAAGCAAUCAGGAGUCAACGUAAAAUUAUGACAUGAUGGUUCCCCCCCGCAGCUUUAUCACACUAAGAAAGACUACUUGUUUUAUGUUUUACUUUUAUAUAGAAAAAUAUGUUAAAUCAUUACUUUUUCAUACGGGGUAUAAUACUUUAUUCAAUGACAAAACUAAAAAUUUAGUGGUCACAUAAUCUUGGAGUCCUGGUGGCGUGGUGGUUAAGAGCUAUGGCUAAUAACCGAAAGGUCAGCAGUUGGAAUCCACCAGCCGCUCCUUGGAAACCCUAUGGGGCAGUUCUGCUCUGUCCUGUAGGGUUGCUAUGAGUCAGAAUCGACUCUACAGCUGUGGGUAAUUGAAUCUAGUUAUUCCCCCAUAGUCUCUGAGGGGCACAAAUGGUUAAGUGCCCAAUUACUAGCCAGAAAGUUCAGCAGUUCAAACCCACCCAAAGGUGCCUUGGAAGACAGGCCUGGCUAUCUCCUUCUGAAAGGUCUCAGCCUUAAAACCCUAUGGAGCAAUUCUACUCUGCACACAUGGGGUUGCCAUGAGUUGGAAUGGACUGGAUGGCGACCAACAACAUGAUGUCAAAAUAAAAUAUUUAUUUUAAUUAUCCUUUUCUUCAGUUUGCACUUAUCUUUCUGUUUCUUUGUGAAACAAUCAAUUUUGAUGUCUUGUUGGAUCCCUACACCCCAAAUAUGUUAGCGUUUGAAGAGCCACUUCUUAAAAAAUCAUUUUGUCCUGUUUCCGCUUUCCUUGAUGAGACAUAUGGUUCUGAGCCUAAAGUUCUCUGUCAGUUCAGCUCAAGUCCAGUAAUCUCUGAAUCUUCUUCUUGUUCUGACUUUGUGUCUCUGUAUGGUUCCAUUUGACAUAAACUGUUAUAGCUACCUAUUUAGUGCUCUGGAAACCCUGGUAGCGUAGUAAUUAAGUGCUAUGAUGCUAACCAAAGGUCGGAAGUUCGAAUCCACCAGGCGCUCCUUGGAAACCCUGUGGGGCAGUUCUACUCUGUCCUAUAGGGUUGCUAUGAGUCGGAAUUGACUUGACGACAGUGGGUUUGGUUUUAUUUAGUGCUCUAACCAGUGAUUUCUCAUAAGUUUGUGGGAAAUUCAUUUAUUUGCCCGAUAAAUAUUGAGCACUUACCACAAAUAUUGGACACAAAUAUUCACCCAGGGGUGCCAAGUAAACAGUGAACAAGUAAUUCCUGCCUUCAUGGAGCUUUUAGUCAGUGGUUGAGACCAAUGAAGAUGGAGGGAGAAGGUCAAUCAAAUGAGUAUAUGGAGAACUUUCAAUACAUUUAGCUUACCGUUCCAGACUCUGCCCUCUGGUUUAAUAGGAGACAUUGCAGGUAUUUCACAUACCUCAGUUCUACUCCCAUUGGCAGCCAGGUGACUUGGGAGAGAUUUAUCCUUAACUUUGGGGUGGCCCUAAUUGGCCUAAGACAUUUAAGCUUACCCUACCCCUCUUGCCACUGUGCUUGGUUUAGGCCUUAAUCACUCAGACCCCUGAGCCAAACAGGACUUUUGCUCUCUGUUGAGGCGACUGCUCUCUCUUCUUUUUUGUGUGUGUGUAUGUGUGUGUGUGUGUGUGUUUUUUUUUUUAAUUAUGUUUUAGGUCAAAGUUUACAGUGUGAAUUCAUUCAACAGGUUUAAACACAACAUGUUUUGUGACAUGGGCUGCAAUCCCCGCAAUGUGUCAGCACUCUUCCCCUUUCCCUUUCUACCCCGGGUUCUCCAUGUCCAUUCAUCCAGGUUUGCGGUCCCUUCCUGCCUUCUCGCCUUUGCUUUUGGGCAGGUGUUGCCAAUUUGGUCUUGUAUACUUGAUUGAACUAAGAAGCACGUUCCUCAUGCGUGUUACUCUUUGUUUUAUAGGCCUGGCUAACCUUUGGCUGAAAGGUGGACUUUGGGAGUGGCGUCAGUUCCGGGUUAGCUGGGUGUCUGGGGGGCUCUCUCUUCUUACAGAAAUGAGUAAGCUAGUAGUCCUCAGGGCUGCUGGCAUUCAUACUGUAAACUUGAAGGAGCCGCCUAAGGAUGAAAUAGACGCCGCAGACAGUAGAGUGGAGAGACGGAAAGAAACUGGGUCAUCGAAGACUUUGCUAAGAUGCUAGAGCGACCAACUUUGGAGCCUGCCCAACAACUGGCCUCCUCGUUUGCAUGAGCCACCCCUCUCCUGUGUUGCUUAAGGCACUUCUGGUCGGCUUGUUUGCCUGCCCUCCCGCAGUGGUAAGCUCACUGGAGCAGCCCUGGAUGGAAAGACUGGAAGAAGUUGCUGCCUUUGACCAGAUUUCCCAGAAUUGGCACCUUUCCAACAAACUUGAAG